UACGUAGGGGGCUAGCGUUGUCCGGAAUCAUUGGGCGUAAAGAGCGCGUAGGCGGCUAGAUAAGUCCGGUGUGAAAGUCACAGGCUCAACCUGUGAAUGCCGCUGGAAACUGUCUGGCUAGAGUCCGGAAGGGGCGAGUGGAAUUCCUGGUGUAGCGGUGAAAUGCGCAGAUAUCAGGAGGAACACCUAUUGCGAAGGCAGCUCGCUGGGACGUAACUGACGCUGAGACGCGAAAGCGUGGGGAGCAAACAGG
rnacentral:rRNA from 1 species